rnacentral:rRNA from 1 species
UACGUAGGGUGCAAGCGUUAAUCGGAAUUACUGGGCGUAAAGCGUGCGCAGGCGGUUUUGUAAGUUUGUCGUGAAAUCCCCGGGCUCAACCUGGGAAUGGCGAUGAAGACUGCAAGGCUAGAGUUUGGCAGAGGGGGGUAGAAUUCCACGUGUAGCAGUGAAAUGCGUAGAUAUGUGGAGGAACACCGAUGGCGAAGGCAGCCCCCUGGGUCAAAAACUGACGCUCAUGCACGAAAGCGUGGGGAGCAAACAGG